rnacentral:rRNA from 1 species
CGGCGGACGGGUGAGUAACGCGUGGGUAACCUGCCUCAUACAGGGGGAUAACAGUUAGAAAUGACUGCUAAUACCGCAUAAGACCACAGUACCGCAUGGUACAGUGGUAAAAACUCCGGUGGUAUGAGAUGGACCCGCGUCUGAUUAGGUAGUUGGUGGGGUAACGGCCUACCAAGCCGACGAUCAGUAGCCGACCUGAGAGGGUGACCGGCCACAUUGGGACUGAGACACGGCCCAG